GCUGCUCCCGCGGAAUCGACAUCAAGAGAUUUCAGAAGCACAAUCUUUGUGAGCGGGGGUCGCUGGAAACCGCCGGUGCGGCGCCCUG
rnacentral:snRNA from 1 species